UGCAGUGCUCCCACAGAGGCGGCAGGAGACAGGCACCAGUGGGACUCGGAGCCCGGCGCUCAGAGUCCCUUCAGAGGUGGCGGCUCCGGCGGGAGACAGGGGGCACUGUGGCCAGGCCCAGCGCUACCCGCUCAGCAAAAGGAUGCACAGCAGGUAGGCGCCAGCCAGGAGAGGCGCUCUCCCUGCUCUGCAUCCCCGCUGCUACGCCGCCCUGGCCUGUCCCCUCUGCUGCUGCUGCCGGCUACUGUGCCUGAGGCUGUUACUGUCGUGUAUGACAGGCAGCAGCCAGCACCGGCAGCUCAAAGCCUUCCUCGACCCCCUCCUAUUGUGACAGAAAGGGGGCGGAGCUACACUGAGGGGCAGGGCUACACAAAGAAAAUGGGGCGGAGCUACACAGGACCACCAGGCUGAUGUAUAAUCUCUCAUGCACAUAUGGAGCAUGCACAGUGGAGGUCGGGACGCCCUCGGUUGCCUGGAUACCAGAUGACAUCACUUCCUGGUCACCUGGCCCAGGAGCUUACCGUAAGUCCUGUCCGAGGCCAGCUCCCGCCGGACAGCAACGCAAACUUACAGACACAAGAAUACUUAUAAGGUACAUAUGAGGAAGCUGGCACUCACUAGACCAGCGAAACGCGUUGAGCUUUCCGUGUAGGACCACAGGUACCAGCACCCUAUCCACUUCCUGGCGCUAUUUGGACUUAUCAGCAUCCACUGGAUCAAAUUCCGACACAAGUUUUCCAACAGACCCGGAUUUAUCCCCAAUUGCCAUCUGGACUCCAUUUGCUUGGGAUUCCUAGGGGACCUCAUCCGGAAGAAAGUCUGGUAAAAAGUUUCAUACAAAACAACUUGUGGGCAAAUGUGGAUUAGUGUCCUAGCCAGGAACUGUGGACAUUUGAAUUGAAAGGGUUAAUACUCUGUGAUCUCCUACAGCGUUCAUUUUAUUCAUGUGAUUCAUUUUUUAAUGUAGUUGUUUUAUCUUUGAGAGACAAGCUGAAUCUCCUAGUUGAAUUUAUUAAAAAUAUAUUUUAUAUUUUA